AAGAAAAACUUGCACGGCAAGUUCUUUUAUUGUUUUAUAAAAUUCUUAUUUUCUUUCUCUUUCUUGGUCUUCUUCUUUCUUUCUUUACUAUUCUUCGUUGCUUCUUUUUCUUAUACCUGAGAACAGAGAGGGGGACUUGAGAGGAGAGAAACAGAGGCGAGAGAGAGAGAACACAAUCGAGAGAGAGAGAGAGAGAGAGGGCCGAUCGUGGUGGACCCAGACCGAACCGGAGAAGAGAGAGUCGGGGGAGGCUAGUCCUCCAUGGGUCGCCGGAGGACGCGACUUCCGACGGCAUGGAGCGGGACUUCCGGUGGGUGAGCUGGGUCGGCGUCGUCCAGCAGAGCAGAAGCCGAUUUCCGGCAGGCUCAGGUGUUUUUCGGCCUAGCCCAGUGACCCCAAAUCCGACCCGUGACCCGAAGACCCGAAGCCCAGUGACCCCAAAUCCGACAGACCCAGAACCCGGUCCUCCAUGGCGUUUUCCGGCGACUUCCAGAACUGAUUUCCGGUUGUUUCAGCAUGGUUUUCUGGUGGAUUUAUGAGAAACCCCCAAAAUGACAACCGUAAGACGAAGUCCCUUUCUUGUAAGGGAGUAGACCUCGCUGAGAGCGAUAGUUCGUGAUGAACCAGCCAAACCCUAACAUUGUAUAGUACGAUUUGUUCCUUUUGGAGUUCAUGAUUUUGUAUAGAUUUAUAUAUAGAAAGGUUUAAGAGAGUAGAAGUUUUAAAUUUUUAGUUGUAAAUGCACGCUUUUAUUUAUAAUGUUUGUUUUUAGCACUUAAA